ACCUGAGCGUCCACUGUACGGUAAAGUAUGAGACUCAUAAUCGCAGGGUUGUGGGUUCAAGUCCCACAUCGGGCG